GGAUGGGAGACUAUCAGGCUGUGGAGGAGACUGCCUUUAUUGUUGAAGUGAGCAACACUGUAAAAGAGGCUAUAGAAAGUGUAAUUGGUAAUGCUUAUCAACACAGCAAAGUGAACCAGUGGACCACAAAUGUAGAACAAACUUUAAGCCAACUCCCCAAGCUGGGAAAACCAUUUAAAUACAUUGUGACCUGUGUAAUUAUUCAAAAGAACGGAGCUGGAUCAUACAUGGCAAGUUCCUGCUUUUGGGACAGCUCUACUGACGGGAGCUACACUGUGCGAUGGGAGAAUAAGACCAUGUACUGCAUUGUCGGCGCCUUCGGACUGUCU
rnacentral:lncRNA from 1 species